CAGGGGCGAACCCACGUUGAACCACCCGGUGUCACUGGACACCGGGUAAAUUUGACUCGCCCUUGUAUAUGAUCCGCAUGUUACGGCUAGGACACCGGUAAAUUCAAGACAUGGACACCGGCUGAAUCGUAGGACUGAAAGCGAGCGAGCGACGAAGCACCCACCAGGCGUGGCCUAUUUGGCUAGUGAGGGCCUGGUAGCAGCCCAUUUGGCUAGUGAGGCGUGUGCCAUCCCCCUUGCCGUUAUUAUUGAUCGAUUGGACCGAUCCUCUGUAGGUGCGCCUGUUCGUGUUAGUCUGUUCGUUUGUCUCCUCACGCUAGAAUCCUCCUAACGGUCUCAUCCACAUGCAGGUCGGUGGGUAAUUCAAAGGAAAAUAUACAACAUUUUUUUAACACAGUACAUACACAUGCGUUCACAUAUACAUGCAUACACUCAUCACUAUUAAUAUACAUGCACACCUAUCCAUACGAGCACCUUCGAAAGACUAAGCCGGUAUAUCAUCUUGACAUUGACGAAAUC
rnacentral:rRNA from 1 species